CUCCCUGUAGCUCAGUUGGUUAGAGCGCUGCACAGGAAUCGCAGGGCACAGGUUCGAUUCCUGUCAGAAGG
rnacentral:tRNA from 1 species